rnacentral:rRNA from 1 species
GUCGACGAUUCGCGUGUAGCAGUGAAAUGCGUAGAGAUCGGGAGGAAUACCAGUGGCGAAGGCGGCCUUCUGGACUGACACUGACACUGAGGUGCGAAAGCGUGGGUAGCAAACAGGAUUAGAUACCCUGGUAGUCCGCGCCGUAAACGAUGAAUGCUCGCCGUUAUCCCGCUUAAGGGAUAGUGGCUAAGCUAACGCGUUAAGCAUUCCGCCUGGGGAGUACGAUCGCAAGGUUGAAACUCAAAGGGAUUGACGGGGGCCCGCACAAGCGGUGGAGCAUGUGGCUCAAUUCGAUGCAACGCGAAGAACCUUACCUAGGCUCGAACGCUAGGGGACCGCUCCUGAAAGGGAGCUUUCCGCAAGGACCCCUAGCGAGGUACUGCAUGGCUGUCGUCAGCU